rnacentral:rRNA from 1 species
GACGAACGCUGGCGGCGUGCUUAACACGUGCAAGUCGAACGGUAAGGCCCUUCGGGGUACACGAGUGGCGAACGGGUGAGUAACACGUGGGUGUUCUGCCCUGCACUUCGGGAUAAGCCUGGGAAACUGGGUCUAAUACCGGAUAGGACCACUGCCUGCAUGGGUGGUGGUGGAAAGCUUUUGCGGUGUGGGAUGGGCCCGCGGCCUAUCAGCUUGUUGGUGGGGUGAUGGCCUACCAAGGCGACGACGGGUAGCCGGCCUGAGAGGGUGACCGGCCACACUGGGACUGAGAUACGGCCCAGACUCCUACGGGAGGCAGCAGUGGGGAAUAUUGCACAAUGGGCGCAAGCCUGAUGCAGCGACGCCGCGUGAGGGAUGACGGCCCUCGGGUUGUAAACCUCUUUCAGCACCGACGAAGCGCAAGUGACGGUAGGUGCAGAAGAAGGACCGGCCAACUACGUGCCAGCCGCCGCGGUAA